GGGCCUGCAGAGAGAAAGGCAGUUUCUGAUCCACAGCCUCUGUGGCAGCUGUUGAUCAGCCAUUGCCUCUCUCUUCCUCUCUG
rfam:Myotis lucifugus cont2.2056, whole genome shotgun sequence.